AUUGAACGCUGGCGGCAGGCUUAACACCUGCAAGUCGAGCGGAGAUGAAGUGCUUGCACCUUAUCUUAGCGGCGGACGGGUGAGUAAUGCUUAGGAAUCUGCCUAUUAGUGGGGGACAACAUUCCGAAAGGAAUGCUAAUACCGCAUACGUCCUACGGGAGAAAGCAGGGGAUCUUCGGACCUUGCGUUAAUAGAUGAGCCUAAGUGGGAUUAGCUAGUUGGUGGGGUAAAGGCCUACCAAGGCCACGAUCUGUAGCGGGUCUGAGAGGAUGAUCCGCCACACUGGGUCUGAGACACGGCCCAGAGUCCUACGGGAGGCAGCAGUGGGGAAUAGUGGACAAUGGGGGGAACCCUGAUCCAGCCAUGCCGCGUGUGUGAAGAAGGCCUUAUGGUUGUAAAGUACUUUAAGCGAGGAGGAGGCUACUGAGACUAAUACUCUUGGAUAGUGGACGUUACUCGCAGAAUAAGCACCGGCUAACUCUGUGCCAGCCGCCGCAGUAAUAC
rnacentral:rRNA from 1 species